GACGAACGCUGGCGGCGUGCCUAAUACAUGCAAGUAGAACGCUGAAGGAGGAGCUUGCUCUUCUGGAUGAGUUGCGAACGGGUGAGUAACGCGUAGGUAACCUGCCUGGUAGCGGGGGAUAACUAUUGGAAACGAUAGCUAAUACCGCAUAAUAGUAGAUGUUGCAUGACAUUUACUUGAAAGGUGCAAUUGCAUCACUACCAGAUGGACCUGCGUUGUAUUAGCUAGUUGGUGGGGUAACGGCUCACCAAGGCGACGAUACAUAGCCGACCUGAGAGGGUGAUCGGCCACACUGGGACUGAGACACGGCCCAGACUCCUACGGGAGGCAGCAGUAGGGAAUCUUCGGCAAUGGACGGAAGUCUGACCGAGCAACGCCGCGUGAGUGAAGAAGGUUUUCGGAUUGUAAAGCUCUGUUGUAAGAGAAGAGCGAGUGUGAGAGUGGAAAGUUC
rnacentral:rRNA from 1 species